AGGGGUGUGGUGAAAUUAGGCAGACACGUUUGGUUUAGGGCCAGGUUCUUAUAGGUUCGAGUCCUAUCGCUCUUA
rnacentral:tRNA from 1 species